GGCGGAGCCCGCCCCGGUUGGGGUGUCUCGCGCUCGGUGACAGCUCGCGCGUGCUGAUGAUGGCGGGUCACAGUCACAGAGAGAGGCAUCCCCUGAGAUAGCCAGGUUCCAGCCUAUUAAAGGCCUAGAAGAUCUGAAAGGUGGUGAUUUCUCCAGCAAAAGAAAGGAGAAGGGACAAGUCUUCAGUUUGGUCUUCAGAUUUGGGAACAAAUUCAGCUCUGUUGUAAGCAAUAAAUGGGAGUUGUGCCUGUAUCUAUUUGGCUCUGUCUCUAUUGCAACAAGAAGCAGCAUGGAGAAGAAGUUGGCAUGGAUUGCUGUUGGUUUUAUUGGCCCAUCCUCUGACUGAUCAGACUUGGAACUCUUCAUUCCCUCUGGUAUUCUCCAGAUCAUAGUGGACAGUUGAGUUAGACUCCAGCUAUG